rnacentral:ncRNA from 1 species
CGAGUCGGCACCUCGUAUGGGGUCCGUUCGCGCCGCCCCGGCGGCCGGAUGCAUGGACCCGCGAUGGCCCGGCAGGGUGGAAGGAGGCCGCCCAUG